rnacentral:tRNA from 1 species
AGUAAGGUGCCUGAUUAAAGGACUAUUUUGAUAGAAUAGAACAAGUAUAAACUACCCUUAUUA